UUAAAGCCUAUGACAAAGCAAAGUAGGUAGAGAUAAAUACAUUAAAGAGAAUACAAACCUUGGCUGUAAGUUUGUAUAUGUAGCUUUACUGAAAUUUCACUUUUGAGGUCUUUUUUUGAAAUAAUAGUAGGAAAAAGCAGGUAAGCCUGUUAUAGCUGUAUUAAGAGCAUUUAAUUUUAUUAAAUGAAUUUAGGUGGUAACGCGGAAUAACAAAGUCAUUUCGUCCUAUAU
rnacentral:ncRNA from 1 species